GAUGAACGCUGGCGGCGUGCCUAAUACAUGCAAGUCGAGCGACCAGACGAGGAGCUUGCUCCUCUGACGUUAGCGGCGGACGGGUGAGUAACACGUGGAUAACCUACCUAUAAGACUGGGAUAACUUCGGGAAACCGGAGCUACUACCGGAUAAUAUAUUGAACCGCAUGGUUCAAUAGUUCAAGACGGUUUUGCUGUCACUUAUAGAUGGAUCCGCGCCGCAUUAGCUAGUUGGUAAGGUAACGGCUUACCAAGGCAACGAUGCGUAGCCGACCUGAGAGGGUGAUCGGCCACACUGGAACUGAGACACGGUCCAGACUCCUACGGGAGGCAGCAGUAGGGAAUCUUCCGCAAUGGGCGAAAGCCUGACGGAGCAACGCCGCGUGAGUGAUGAAGGUCUUCGGAUCGUAAAACUCUGUUAUUAGGGAAGAAAAAAUGUGUAAGUAACUAUGCACGUCUUGACGGUACCUAAUCAGAAAGCCACGGCUAACUACGUG
rnacentral:rRNA from 1 species